rnacentral:rRNA from 1 species
UACGUAGGUGUCGAGCGUUGUCCGGAUUUAUUGGGCGUAAAGAGCCCGCAGGCGGCUUGGCAAGUUUGAGGUGAAAUCUCCCGGCUUAACUGGGAGGGGGCCUCGAAAACUGCCAGGCUUGAGGCAUGGAGAGGGAUGCGGAAUUCCCGGUGUAGUGGUGAAAUGCGUAGAUAUCGGGAGGAACACCAGUGGCGAAGGCGGGUCUCUGGGCAGUAACUGACGCUGAGGAGCGAAAGCGUGGGGAGCGAACAGG